rnacentral:rRNA from 1 species
UACGGGGGGGGGCGAGCGUUGUUCGGAAUUACUGGGCGUAAAGGGUUCGUAGGUGGCCUGCUAAGUCAGACGUGAAAUCCCUCAGCUUAACUGGGGAACUGCGUCUGAAACUGGCGGGCUUGAGUGCAGGAGAGGAACGCGGAAUUCCAGGUGUAGCGGUGAAAUGACGUAGAUAUCAAGAGGAACACCGGUGGCGAAGGCGGGUCUCUGGGCCGAUAUCGACGCUGAGGAGCGAAAGCGUGGGGAGCGAACAGG